GGCUGUUGUACAUCAUCAACCCAUCCCAGCUUUUAUUCUGUACUGCUGGUGUUUUCUGUGUAUUAGCUGCAAAGAAGACAGACCAUCUACAGCCAUCACUUUGACAGGAGUAAAGCAAAGGAUUCAUAAAUCUGCGUAACCUGCGCACUCCACAAAAAUGUCAGGUGUUAUGAAAUUUUUUGGGAAGGGUGAUGAUGAGGACAAGAAUAAGAAUAAGGACAAAGAUGAAAAGCAUCACAAAAAGGAUAAAAAGGAAAAGAAAAAGAAAGAUAAAAAGGAAGGAGAUAAAUCAGGCAGUAGUUCCAGCUCUGACAGCGACUCUGAUUGUGAAAAGAAGAAAAAGAAGGACAAAAAAUAGUAUCUCGGCACUGGCCCUUACCUCUUUUUGAAACAUAACUCUUGUUUUAUUGCCUAUGUAUUUUACCUCUCUUUUAUAUUGUGCUCUGUAUGCAGCCGUUAUGAGGUUCUUAAUAAAAAAAAAAAAAAAAGAAGAAUUUUAUU